UAUUUACUGCGAAAUCAAUAUAAGCUUGAACAAUUACCAUUUAAAAUUUCUCUGCAAUUAGUUUUCAAUAUAGUACAAUUGUCUUCACAUUGCAUUAUCGCGCAUUGUUUACAGUACGCAUGUGUGAAGUGCAGGCGCAUUAGAGUUUUGACAACUUUCGAAGUGAUUUUUCUUAUUGGAUUGCUACUCGAUAGCUUGAAAGGAUUCUCGCUACGUACUCGAGUUCAAAAAAGGACGUGGCUCCCAAGGAAGCUAGUCGUCGUCGAGCUGGCGUCGAAUAAAUUCAAUUCAAAUUCAAUACUCAAUUCUUCUGUUCCUUUGUGCACAUUUGAAAUUGUAGAGAAAAAGAAAAGAACUGCCUGAGAUACUUGUGCUUUGUGAUUUGACGUGAUUUUUUCGUUUCCAUCUCACAGUGAAGGUGAACAUCUGAAAUUUAUGGAAAAUCGGUGCCACUGAGUGACUUCGAGGAGAAGUGGGUUGUUCACGUUACGUUAGGUAAUAGCUGGCCGAAUUGCAGGACGAUAGACGGCUGAAAUCGCGUUGGCAGAAUUCAUAUCAUUGACAAGAUUUCAAGGAUCCGCACGGAAGAGGAUUCUCGUUGUUCACGCGUGAAAGUGUCCGUGACGCUUGAGUUGCUACCUCCUAGAUAGUGUGACAAAAAGGUUUUCCAUACAUAAUGUUUUCAGGACUUACAAAUCAGAUGUCCUCUUGGAUGGGGCGGCAGCCUCAAGACGAAGAGGUCCCCCCUCCGGAGAACACAAAUCAAUCAUCCGCCGUAGCUCCUGCCGAAGCGGAACCACAGCCAGCACAGUAUACUGAGCAGCCUGUUGCCGAAGGGCUUGAGGACGGCGACAAGAAACAGAGUCCAACGAAAGCUGGCGGGAUGUUCUCAAAUGUAAAGUCUCAAAUGACAGGAUGGUUAGGAAAUGCUUCGAUACCAUCAAUGCCAUCUAUGCCGGCGAUGCCAUCAAUGCCAGCUAUGCCGUCAAUUCCAUCGAUUCCAGGAUUGCGAAGAGGUGGCGCUGAAGGUGGUGAGGCAGGUGCUGAUGGGUCAGUAUUGGGUGAACAAACACAAGGUGGUAUUGGUGGAGGUGUUGAAGAUGUAUCAGGCGUUGGUGGUGGUGAUGAUGAAGACAAAUCGAGGUACAUUAGUGCUACGGAAGGAGCUGACUCACGUCCGAUAUCAGGUGGAGGAACCCCAACUGAAGAUCAAGCUGGGCAAAUUGGGAAUGUAACCACAAAAGUCACUCAAGGUGCCAAAACAUUUGGAUCAUUCUUAUAUUCUGCUGUAAAUAAAGCUGGAGCUAAAAUAAAGGAAACUGUUAAGGAUAAUACUAUUCUCAGUGAAUUCAAUAAAGAGCAAGAUGCGUUCAUCAAAGGGCAAGCUAACAGAUCUGAUGCUGGUGUGGCACCUUGGAUUGGCCACAAUAACGAGGAGAAAGUCAAAGAAGAAAUUUUGGGAUUAUCACAGGAUCGUCGUAAUUUCGUGCGAGCACCUCCUGCCGGAGUUGAUUUCCAAUUCGACUAUGAUCAGUCAUAUCCAGUGGCGUUAGCUAUUAUGACAGAAGAUAAAGAACUUGAAAAGAUGCGUUUCGAGUUAGUUCCAAAAAUAAUAACUGAAGAGAAUUUCUGGAGAAAUUACUUUUAUCGUGUAUCUUUAAUCUGUCAAGCUGGUGAAUUAGGUACUUUAGGAGCGGAUGGUUCUAUAAUGGGCCAAGCAUCUAGUGAAGAAGUAAAAUCGUUAAAGUCCGAAACAAAUUCAAACGAAAGUCACAUUGAAUCGAAAGAAUUAGAUAAUUCGAAGGAUACUUCGGAAACGUCACAUCCCUCUGAAAAAAAUGACCAAAUAAAGAAAGCAGGAAGACACAAAUUGAGUGAAUCGGAAUUUGUUUCGGAUACUUUCCAAACUACAGAAACGGAUCUAGAAGAAGUAAAAGCAGGAAUGCGAAAACUUGGUAUCGACAGUUUGGCACAACAGGCUGCCGUCGAUAAUGCUUAAAAAGAAGUGUUUCAACACAUUCGAAAAAGCUAAACAUAACAUUUAAGUGAAACCAUAACGUCUCAGCAUUUUAAUAAACGAUAGCAACAUAUAAAACGGUGGAAAUAGACGAACAAUAUUGUCCAAAACUUCGAUGAAUAGAGAGAAAUGUAACCAAAAAAAAAAAACAAAAAUACAAAUAUCAACAAGUAGACAACAACAUUGAGAACACAUAUUUUAGCAAAAUUGUAUUGUCUGGAUAUUGAUUUAUUUACUUUUUUCUUAUAAAUAUAUAUUUUUUCCUUUCUUUUUCAAGUCUUAUUUUCCUUUAGAACAUUUUACUCUAUUCUUUUCUUCCCAGUAUCUUGAAACUCUUAAAAAUUAUCACAAUUAUAAAGUAGGAAUCAAGUAGUAUGUAGGACAGCAAAAUAUUUUGCUUUUGCUUUAAAAAAUAGUGCCAGUUUGCAUUUAUUGCCUAGAAUAUAUUGCAAAAAAAAAAGAAAAAAAAAACUAGAGAAAAAUGAACACGAAAAAAGAUAAAAUAAAUAAACGUUGUGAUGAUUGGAAAUGGAAAGUAACACUGAAAAUAAACAGCAAUAAAAAUUACUAUUACUACUAGCUUAAUGAUGUGCUGGUUGUUAGAUGCAUAAAAGUGUUAAAUUGAUCUUUAAUAUGAGUAAGAUGAUAAGUGUAA
rnacentral:misc_RNA from 1 species